CCCAAACUCAUAGGCCUGUUGAAUUUUCUCAGCUUUUUCCACACUAGAUUAACUACAUACCAUAUAGAUCAACCUUUUGGUUGUUUGACAUUUAAAACAGAUGGUGAAUAGUACCAGUCAGCCAUGUAACUCCUACCAUACUGGAGUUCAAUAGCUAACCAACAUAUAUGCUGGCAGCUUACAUGUUAAGAUUGUGAAUGCAGGGAUUAAGCCAGCACUUGGAAUAGUUAUAACCUAUGAUUCUUAUGCAGACAAAAGUUAUGCCAGC
rnacentral:lncRNA from 1 species